UACAGAGGGUGCAAGCGUUGUUCGGAAUUAUUGGGCGUAAAGCGCGUGUAGGCGGCUUUGCAAGUCGGGUGUGAAAGCCCUCAGCUCAACUGAGGAAGUGCGCCCGAAACUGCAGAGCUUGAAUACCGGAGAGGAUGGCGGAAUUCCCCAAGUAGAGGUGAAAUUCGUAGAUAUUGGGAAGAACACCGGUGGCGAAGGCGGCUCACUGGCUCGUAACUGACGCUCAGGCGCGACAGCGUGGGGAUCAAACAGG
rnacentral:rRNA from 1 species